rnacentral:lncRNA from 1 species
GAAGGGGUAUCAAGAUUUAGAGAAGUAAAUAUGAAUAAUUCAAGGGGAUUCAAUACAUAGUAUAUAUACAUAAAAAAAUAAUAACCUAUCUAAACGGAGUAAUUUUCCGGAAAAGGAUUGACACUAUGUGGCUUCGUCACUGGUUAUAGAUCAAACUGCAGAAUUACACGGACCUUUCAAUAGGCUAAGUUCAAAACACUGGAGAUAGGCUAACUCAACUCGCUGGCAAUCAUCCCGAACUAAACCAUCACCUGACAGAUCUCCAUUUAACCAUUAAUGGUCAACAAAAGACAACAAUCACUCUUUUGGUUGUUUCGGAUUACAGAGUUUGAGGGGUUACUAGAAUUAUAUUCAAGAUAACCACCCCCAAACCUCAGAAAAGAGACAAACAACAACAACAACUAUCCAGUAUAGUCUCACAAGGUAGGGUCUGGGGAGGGUAAUAUGUAGACGGGCCUUACCCCUACCCGAAAGGGCAGAGAGGCUGUUUC